GUCAAAUAGUUUGGUAGUAAAACUUAAUUGCAAGUAGCUUUGCUUGGUUCUUGAGCAACACAUUGGUCAAUUUUUCAUUUCAUUUACCGGUGUCUUUGAAACGCUUUUUAAGUCCUCUUAACAUUUUGAUCCAUUUCCGUACCAAGUUUCAGAUCCGAAGCACUCAUAGUUCAAGAUCCGAUCUUUCCCCAGAUGUAGGCGCCACCUCUGAAAAUUUUGACUUGCACCUGAAUCUGAAAAGUUGCCGUCAUCGGUUUAUAACUAUAGAGCAGCUAUCCAAGAGAUCUGCAGCUGUUGCUUCUGCUGGAUUGGAUUCGGAAUAUAUCUCGGUAUAUACCAAGGGCGCAUCUGCGCAAAGGCAAUCUUGAUUUCACGAGUUAGAUUAUUGAGGCAGGGUUUAUGCCUGAACAGAAGUUAAUGCACUAGUUGUCUUUGCUCCCAAAUGAUCUUAUGUUGGAUUUGGUUGUAAGUGAAGAUAUUAAACAGAUUUGUGUGGGAUAUCUACAUUGUCAUGGAUAUAACUAAAAAUACAGGAGAUGGUACAGAGUGAAUUUUCUUCAGAGGUGGUUGACUUCACCGAGGUCAAUGACGUCAACAAUGGAAGCAUAGGGUCUGGCUUUCGUCGAGAACCUUCAUUUUCAGGAUGGUGUGAUGAUAAUGGAACAGUCCAUUUGGAGCAGCAACUCAGGGAUGAAGAUGUUAGUUUAGAGGAAGACUCGGAUUUUGAGUUGCCUUUUCCUCAAAAGAACGAGCAGCAAAGCAUAUCUUUUGAUAGAGACAGACGCUUUCACCUGAAGUAUCAGCAAAGGAGGAGUAUGCAAAAGAAUUUUACAGGUACCAUGGAUGUGGAUUCAAGUUAUCAGAGCGGUAAUGGAUCUGGAAAGUAUGUGCCUUUUGAUGUUGAAGACAACUCGGAAAGGGGGAUGACUGGUGUUGACUCCUCCGUUCGUGCGGUUGAUACUGGAUCUUUUGUAAAAGGCUCCAAAGAUCCUAUUUCUGCAGCAAAUAUCUUAAAGACAUUGUUUUUUAUACUUGUGUGGUACACUUUCAGUCUAUUUUUGACCUUGUACAAUAAAACUCUUUUAGGAGAUCAUAUGGGAAAGUUCCCAGCUCCCUUUUUGAUGAAUACCAUCCACUUUGCAAUGCAAGCUAUUUUAGCUAAAUCUAUCACCUGGUUUUGGUCUGAGAGAUUUGAAAGCAGUGUUGUUAUGUCUUGGAAUGACUACUUCUGGAGAGUUGUACCAACUGCUAUUGGAACAGCGAUGGAUGUUAACCUGAGCAAUGCAUCUCUAGUUUUCAUCUCUGUCACAUUUGCUACAAUGUGUAAAUCUGCUGCUCCAAUUUUUCUACUUCUGUUUGCGUUUGCUUUCAGGUUGGAGACACCAAGCUUUAAACUAUCAGGCAUCAUCAUGGUAAUCUCCAUUGGGAUACUAUUAACAGUCGCAAAAGAAACAGAGUUUGAAUUAUUUGGAUUCAUACUUGUCAUGCUUGCUGCUGUUAUGUCUGGCUUCCGCUGGUGCAUGACUCAGAUUCUUUUGCAGAAAGAAUCCUAUGGUCUAAAAAAUCCGCUUACCCUGAUGAGCUACGUAGCUCCAGUCAUGGCAAUGCUUACUGCACUUCUUUCGCUUGCAUUAGAUCCAUGGGAUAAAUUCCGAGAAAACCAGUACUUUGAUAAUUCAUGGCACAUAACACGAACUCAUAUUUAUUACGUAAAUUACACUGUCCUGACCUCCCCUGCCAUUUGGUGAAAUUCAACCUGGCUCUCCUCUGUUUCUAGAUCAUACAUUGACUUCCCUUGAAAUUUUGGUAAUAAUAUGUACCAAACGCCUCUAAUGGGAGGUCAACGUAGGUUGAAUUGUACUGAACUCAAGGGAGGUACUAACAGAAUAUGUUUUGGUCUCGGUAACUAGUGCUGUCACAGUCACAAUAGCGGGGGUUGUAAAGGAGGCUGUCACCAUAUUGGUUGCAGUAUUGUACUUUCAUGAUGAAUUUACUUGGUUGAAAGGAUUUGGUCUAUUCAUUAUCAUCGUUGGCGUCAGUUUAUUCAAUUGGUACAAAUACCAGAAGCUUCAGAAGGGGCACACAAGUGAGAAUGGUGUGUCAGAGCAUCUUGCAACAGAUUCUGCUGCCAAAUAUGUUAUUCUUGAGGAGAUGGAUGAACAUGGUGAUGCCAUUUAAGACCUUGAUGCAACAAAGGACCCAGAACCAACCUCAAAUUCUGAAGAACAAAGGGAGCAAAAUUAUCUUUCUGUGACUUGCAUGUUGGCUAGCAAGGUCUCAUAUUUUCAGAUUUCAGAUAGCCAUGAUGUCCCUUGUUGGAAUUUUGAUGUUAAUUUUCGUUUGAGCUUUUAUGAAAUUGAGAAAAAAUUUUCAAGCUAUAGUUGCCAAGAUGGUACCAAUACCAAAUCCAGUCUUUGUUGUAUUCUGGUUGAAUAUGUGAAUAAUCAGAUUUUGGCAUUCUUUGGAGUGUAUAACAUAUAAAUGAGAUCACAACAGAUUGGAAUAGAUGAUUUUUUUUUUCAGGAUUGUAUAGAAAUCAUUUCUCAUCAUGAUGAUGGUUAUUUUGCAUGUAUAAUAACGAUAUAUACUAUAUGCAGUUAAUAAUUUCUUAUCAAC